CGGACCGGCCCCGCCGUGCCAGGGGCUGAGGGAGGCGCGGAGCGGCCUCGGCUGUCGGGGUAGGGCCGUGUGCAAGCCGACGGGUCUCUGGUCCUGCUCGCCCUUAGCCCCCGGCUGCAGGAACCGAGGGGCUCCUGCCGGCGAGAGCCGCCGCCGCUUUCUGCAACCACGCCGAGCUCGUGCAGAACAUCCACGAGCCUGAGCGAUGCCCAAACCCCGGAAAGACUGUGGCGAUGGGUUUUGAGUUUUCCAUAGCCCGGUGUGAGUAGGAAGGACUCCCGAUACUCCUGGUAGGAGUUAGGAAGAAAUUCUUUACUGUGAGGAUGGUGAGGCACUGGGACAGGUGCCGAGAGUUGUGGAUGUCCAUCCUUGGAAGUCUUCCAGGUCAAGUUGGAUAGGGCUUUAAGCAAAAUUUUGUGGAUAGUGUCUCUGUGGCAGGAGUGUUGGAAAUGAUCUAAGGUCCCUUCCUACCCAAACCAUCCUGUGACUCUACACAGGGUGGUUGGCGCGUUCUGGGACGUGCUCCUGGCCUGAGCAACCGCCCUGCCCAAGCUAAGGCUGCAAUCAACCAACACCCACACCUGGAAAAUGGGGACGUGUUAAUAACCAGCACAAAUCCUGCUCUAAUGCUGCCACGCCUGACUUCCUGCAUCACACACCUGAGUCCCAUGUACUGGUGUCACCUGAACGCCAGGAAGCUGAACUGAGGUAAGGCAGCAGAUGCAGUGUUUCAGUAAGCUCAAACCCCUGGCUGGACAGCUGAAGGAGGCCUUAGGAGCAGCACCUUUAACUGAGAGAUGGAAGAGUGGGAUCUGCACCAGCUGUGAUUCUAGAAUUUAGCAAUGCCACCUACUGUCUCCAAUAUGAAUUGCAACAUAACCGCUGGGGUUUAUCUGUGCCUCAGAACACCACUGUUAUGCACCUGACUGUGAAAAUCAGAUUUAUCAGCUCCUGAACAGCGUUUUCCAGAAGUGAAGCGUAGCUGCCAUAAUUCACCUAAAGCUCCAUCGCUCCUUGUAACAAUAAGUUGAUUGAGUUUCUAAUAAACGCACCACUGCUCA